AUGUUAGAUGUGACUUUAGUUUGAAGACACUCGGACACAAAAAGCAGAAAUGAGGAGGGGUCCAGUGUUUCUCACAGCAACGUACGAGGCUCCUCCUACUGACUGCACAUGUGGCUGCUUCACAGCUGGAUUGCAGCUGUGAUCAUCAGACCCACAACAACAGUGUGUCACCUCUGAACAUGGACACACUCGCUGCACUUCUGUUCGUUUCAGCUCUCGUAGGUAACAGCUUGGAAGAUGAUAUUACUGCCAUCAGAACUGAAGUGUUUUCAUCAGAGGGUCGUAGCGUUACUCUCUCCUGUAAAUACUCAGUUAAAGCUCAGAAUCUCCAGUGGUACCGACAGGAUGCUGGAUCAGCUCCUCAGUAUCUACUCCUGAUCACUGAUACUAAACAGCCUGAAGUGAUUCACGCAAAGCCCUCAAACCCUCGACUGACUGCUAAACUGAACGACCAGAGGAAUCAAGUGGAUCUGGAGAUCUCCUCUGCUGCAGUGUCUGACUCUGCUGUGUACUACUGUGCUGUGACGCCCACAGUGACAGGAAACACCUCAACUCUGUACAAAAACCUCUGGAGCAAAGACAACACAAUGCUCCACAGCAUCCACCAGAGGGAGACAUGGUGAAAAACUUUAGGAGUUUCAGACCACAAAUGCCUAAAUAACUAUGAAACUCAUCUAAUACAUCUGUGUCUUGUUGGGGAUAUGAAAGGAGCAUUAUAACUGGGAUAUUAUAGCUCCUGAGUGGUAAUAGUUAUGCUAUAAUAACAAUUAGGUUCACAAACGCUGGUUCCCCAAUGUUCUUCUUCUUCUUUUUUUUGUUCUUGCUGUUAUUUGUCCUCAGAGAUAUUUUGAACACACUCAUCUGUAGAGUUUGGUUUCAAUCACUCAUCUACUGAUGAACUUUACUUGUUAUGACGCAAGUUUAACGUGUUCAUCGUUCUAUCAAGAGUGUUUUUUUGAUCAAUACUCUAAGUCCUCUGUUGUAAAUAUACUGCAUUUUAAUCAUUGAAACAUUUUUUUGCUGAAGACUUGUUAGCUGUGACUUUGUUUUUUUCAGACGCUUUCUCCUUCUGCUCUGCAAUAAAAGUGAGUACCUGUGUCUCCAGAACUGUAACAUCUUUAUCUGAUGUGCUUGGUGCAAGAAAUAUUUUCCCAUGUACUGUGAUUAUGCACCGGCCCAGGGUGGAAACCAUUCAUAUAACUAAGCUGUACUUCCUUCCCUCUUUGAGUGAGAGGAAGUUGCCUGUGCUGUAAACUGCUCACUCCUGCGCAAGUAAAAAUCCUGAAGAAGGUCUCACUUGUUUGUGUCUCUUUUAUUUAAGGUAUAACUACAAAGGGGGAUUCAAUUUCAACAUCU